rnacentral:rRNA from 1 species
CGUAGCCGACCUGAGAGGGUGAUCGGCCACACUGGAACUGAGACACGGUCCAGACUCCUACGGGAGGCAGCAGUAGGGAAUCUUCCGCAAUGGACGAAAGUCUGACGGAGCAACGCCGCGUGAACGAAGAAGGUUUUCGGAUCGUAAAGUUCUGUUGUUAGGGAAGAACACGUACCAUUCGAAUAGGAUGGUACCUUGACGGUACCUAACGAGAAAGCCCCGGCUAACUACGUGCCAGCAGCCGCGGUAAUACGUAGGGGGCAAGCGUUGUCCGGAAUUAUUGGGCGUAAAGGGCUCGCAGGCGGUUUUUUAAGUCUGAUGUGAAAUCUUGCGGCUCAACCGUAAGCGGUCAUUGGAAACUGAAGAACUUGAGGACAGAAGAGGAGAGUGGAAUUCCACGUGUAGCGGUGAAAUGCGUAGAGAUGUGGAGGAACACCAGUGGCGAAGGCGACUCUCUGGUCUGUCACUGACGCUGAGGAGCGAAAGCGUGGGUAGCAAAC